CUUGCUAAGUUUGAUGGCGACCGGCGCACGGGUGAGUAACGCGUGAGUAACCUGCCUCAUACAGGGGGAUAACAGUUGGAAACGACUGCUAAUACCGCAUAAGCUCACAGAGCCACAUGGCUCAGAGAGAAAAACUCCGGUGGUACGAGAUGGACCCGCGUCUGAUUAGCUAGUUGGUGAGGUAACGGCCCACCAAGGCGACGAUCAGUAGCCGACCUGAGAGGGUGAUCGGCCACAUUGGGACUGAGACACGGCCCAAACUCC
rnacentral:rRNA from 1 species